rnacentral:lncRNA from 1 species
CGACAAGAGCCGUUUCCGGGCUGGAAGGCCUCCCUGGAGUAGCUCAGGACAGUAGGGAAAAGGGAAUCGGAAGGAGGGAUGGUCGACAACACUUGGCAGUUGUUGGAUAUAAGGGAGCAGCGGAUGGGACCUGUGAGAUCAAGACCGGGUUUUCCUUAAAACAGGAGAAGCCCCAGCAUGUCUGUGUGUUUCUGGGAAUCAUCCAGGAAAAGCAAGAAGUGUUGACAUCAGAGAAGACAGUUACUAGAGUGACACCGAGAGAGUCACCAAGUAUAGCCCAUGUUCAGCGGGAGAGGAAUUAAACGCCAUCUUCUGAGUGCCAGGGGCAUCAGGCCCCAUUAUUUAAAUGAAGUGAAUACGGUACACCUGGUGAGAUUUGAAUUUCAGAUGAACACGUGACUUACCAGAGUGAGUUCCAUAUAUCACAUGGGCCAUACAUUAAAGAAUUAUUUGCUAUUUAUCCAAAAUUCAAAUGUAAUGGACGACCGUAUUUGUGUUGGCUAGCUCGGGGAGCCCUAAAAAGGAUCUGUAGACGUAGUUUAGAAUCAGCACAGUAGCGAAGGAGGGAGGGGGUGUAGGACACAGGUCGAGGCAGUGACCUUCCAUAGACACAGGUCGAGGCAGUGACCUUCCAUAGACACAGGUGCAGGUUGUAGGGGGAGAAGAGGCAGGGUACUCGGGUGUGUUCGGGGAGGUCGGUGGUGGGUAG